CCUACGGGAGGCAGCAGUGAGGAAUAUUGGUCAAGGGACGCAAGUCUGAACCAGCCAUGCCGCGUGCAGGAAGACGGCUCUAUGAGUUGUAAACUGCUUUUGUACGAGGGUAAACGCAGAUACGCGUAUAUGUCUGAAAGUAUCGUACGAAUAAGGAUCGGCUAACUCCGUGCCAGCAGCCGCGGUAAUACGGAGGAUUCAAGCGUUAUCCGGAUUGAUUGGGUUUAAAGGGUUCGUAGGCGGUCGGAUUAGUUAGAGGUGACAUCCCGAGUCUCAACUUCGGAAUUGCCUCUGAUACUGUUCGGCUAGAGCGUAGUUGCGGUAGGCGGCAUGUAUGGUGUAGCGGUGAAAUGCUUAGAGUUCAUAC
rnacentral:rRNA from 1 species